AAUUAUCAAACGAUCAGUGAAGACAAUGAAGCUUCUAUCUCUAACUAUUGUCGCUUGUUGCAUAGCUUACGCUUUUGGUGAGAAAUGUCAAGGAACUGAUACUAGUCCUUGUGUACACACAAUUUGUGACAAUACAACCGAUGUUCAGUGUGUCAACGGGUUAUGUUCCUGUGAACCAACGCUGAAUUUGAAAUGCAUGACAAUGCAGGAUUGUUUGAACCUGGGUGAUACGUGGAACUGUCCUAAAGAUAGACGUCACUGUGUCGAUAACAUGUGUACAUGCAUUAGAAUAUAGAAUGACCAACUACAA